CACGGGGGGAGCAAGCGUUGUUCGGAAUCACUGGGCGUAAAGGGCGUGUAGGCGGUCAAGUAAGUGGAAUGUGAAAGCCCCCGGCUUACCCGGGGAUCUGCAUCCCAAACUGCUUGGCUUGAGUACGGGAGAGGAUGUGGGAAUUCCUGGUGUAGCGGUGAAAUGCGUAGAUAUCAUGGGGAACACCAAAAGCGAAGGCAGUACAUUGGCGCACUCCUGACACUGAAACACGAAAGCGUGGGUAGCGAAUGGG
rnacentral:rRNA from 1 species